rnacentral:lncRNA from 1 species
UGAAGAUGUAUUGAUGUUGUUACUGGUUAUUAGACUCAAGAGAAAUGAUGAGAAGCAGCGAGCAUGUCUAAUACAACCAGAAGUGCAUACACAAAUGCAAUGAACAAGUUUGGUGUAUAUGCAACCAAAUAUAGAUGCAGUGAAGCAGUGAUACAGUGAUCAAGUCUGUUGGUUGUGCAUCCAGAUACAAACACUGUGAAGUGAACCAGUCUACAGAGAAUGAUGUAUGACUCAUGAGCAAGAGAUUUGUUAACGGGGUUCGGAUAACCUACAUCCCCGGGACCAAGUCCAGAACGAUUUACUAGCUUAAGAACGCAAAAGUCACAUUUGCCAAUGGUAUCUAGCACACACUUGUGCCUACCACUCUUAACUAGAUAAAUCAAGGCAAUCACCACUCAUUGUUUUUUCGAGUAUGAUUCCUUUACAAAACCAUCAACAAUUUUCUCUUUUGUUGAUGGGGCAACACCACACACAAAGUGUGCAUAUAAAAAGAAACCCUAGGUGUGCAACCUUUUCUUGUGCCCACCUCUUCCUUUUUAUACUCCUUAGAGAUCUCCAAAACCCUAAGUUCCCAAGCUCACCCUUUUCUCCUCUGGAUAAUAGCUUGUGCUCUUUUGUCAACUUGACCAAUGCCUCUGUACAAGACGCUGCCAACUUGACCCUUCUCUGUUUGAGACUUCACCGCCUCUGUAAUGCAACACGGCCACUGACACUUUGAACCUUGUCUGUUCUGUCACAACCGUUCCCAUGAUGCACGUUCACUCCCUUGUUUGCUGCAACUUGAAGCUUUUCCGCUCUGUUGCACUACACAGCCACUACACGUUGACUGCUCUGUUUUCUUCUCUGUUUCGCUUCAAGUUUACUCAACUAGAAAACAUAUUUCUGCUCGGGUAUAACACGCAGCUGCUUCCUUCAUUCUGCUCUGAAGCACUUUCAGGUUU